rnacentral:rRNA from 1 species
GUAGGUGACCUGCGGAAGGAUCUUGUCGAAACCUGCCUAGCAGAACGACCCGCUAACACGUUAUCAGACAACAUUUGGAGGGGGCUUGGGUGCAGCACUGCCCCUCGACCCCUCCAAGUCUCGGAGCAUCGGGAUCGUCUGCUCUUGCAUGCCCCCAGGGCUGUUGGGUAGCACGGUCUGGUUUCUCCAAGGCAAAAUGAACAACCCCCGGCGUGAAUCGCGCCAAGGAAUCGGAAUGAAAAGGCUCUCGUCUCUUGUCCACGCCCCGUUCGCGGUGUGCGUGCGGCGUAGAUGCGAUUGCUUUGUCGUGAUAAAACAAAACGACUCUCGGCAACGGAUAUCUCGGCUCUCGCAUCGAUGAAGAACGUAGCGAAAUGCGAUACUUGGUGUGAAUUGCAGAAUCCCGUGAACCAUCGAGUCUUUGAACGCAAGUUGCGCCCCAAGCCAUUAGGCCGAGGGCACGUCUGCCUGGGUGUCACGCAUCGUUGCCCCCAUCCAAACCCUACCCAUGGGCGAGGUGUGGGCGUACAUUGGCCUCCCGUGUGCAUCCUGCUCACGGUUGGUCUAAAAUCGAGUACACGGCGACCACGGUGCCGCGACGAUCGGUGGUAAUGCUUUGAGCAACCUCGUUUCUAGUCGUGCGCGCUCGUCGAUAUGGACUCUCUGACCCUCUUGGCACCGCACGUACGGUGCUCGCAUCGCGACCCCAGGUCAGGCGGGAUUACCCGCUGAAUUUAA